GCCGGGUGUUGGUGGCGCACUCCUGUAAUCCCAGCACUCGGGAGGCAGAGGCAGGCGGAUCUCUGUGAGUUCGAGGCCAGCCUGGUCUACAAAGGGAGUUCCAGGACAGGCUCCAAAGCUACAGAGAAACCCUGUCUCGAAAAACAAAAACAAAAACAAAAAAUUGUUUCUCUGUAGUUUUGGAGCCUGUCCUAGAACUAGCUCUUGUAGACCAGGCUGGUCUCGAACUCACAGAGAUCCUCCUGCCUCU
rnacentral:SRP_RNA from 1 species